rnacentral:rRNA from 1 species
AUUGAACGCUGGCGGCAGGCCUAACACAUGCAAGUCGAACGAGUGGCGGACGGGUGAGUAAUGUAUGGGAAACUGCCUGAUGGAGGGGGAUAACUACUGGAAAAGGUAGCUAAUACCGCAUACCAUCGGAUGUGCCCAGGUGGGAUUAGCUAGUAGGUGGGGUAACGGCUAACCUGGGCGACGAUCCCUAGCUGGUCUGAGAGGAUGACCAGCCCCACUGUAACGGAGCCACGGUCCAGACUCCUACUGGAGGCAGCAGUGGGGAAUAUUGCACAAUUGGCGCAAUCCUUAUGCAGCCAUGCCGCGUGUAUGAAGAAGGCCUUCGGGUUGUAAAGUACUUUCAGCGGGGAGGCGUUACCCGCAGAAGAAGCACCGGCUAACUCCGUGCCAGCAGCCGCGGUAAUAC